CGGUCCGCCUUUGGUGUGC
rnacentral:siRNA from 1 species